AGUAAAAGUCGUAACAAGGUUUCCGUAGGUGAACCUGCGGAAGGAUCAUUAACGAUUGCUAUACAAGCAAAGACAAACUUUCACUGGAUUGAACGCUAAAACUCCUGACGAGUUCAGGAAGGAUAGUGCCUCUCACGGCCAUCGUGGUCGUUGCGCUCUGCGCUGCGAACGAUGUAAAACAAACAACCGUUGGCCUCUCAUACAGUAUUGUCUCUCGUCAUGGCAUACAGGCCUGGCAUCUGGUACGAGUCUCUCGCAGUCUCAAAACCAACCUUACAACUCUGAGCGGUGGAUCACUUGGCUUGUGGAUGCUAUGAAGACCAUAGCUAAGUGUGAGAAUGGCAGCGAGCCGUCGCUAUAUGCGCUGUCCUCUUCUUAUCACAUGUCGAAUGCACAUUGCGCCCCACCCAGCGGUCGGCUAAACAACCUGCAGACAAAAGCCUGUGAGUUGGAACAAAGGCUAAUGUGUGGCCCUCGAGCAACGGCGGGGGAGCCAGGAGCACAUGAGCGUGCGGACCAACUACUCGUGAGUAGUCAGGCCUGACCCUAUGGUGGGGCACUCCUAGUCGAGUGUGGUGGAUCGGACUCACAUCUCUUGUUGCGCGUUCGCGCGUGAUGGAGUUUGAGUUUCUUUGUUGCUGGUGGCAUUUGGGUCGACAUCAGUCGUGCCCGUAAACAACUGCCUUGGCUCGUGCCUCUGUGCGUGUACCUCUCGAAGGAGCGCACAUUGAAGGCCAUAGCUGGCGAUCACUCUUGCGGCCAGGGCACUACUUCGGUAGUGCGCACAGGUCCAAAAGGAAUUCGUAAUACGAGAAUCAGGUCUCAAAACUCUUGCUGGCUGGUUUCUGUGCACUAUCUGUAGAGUGAUGAUCACAUGGUAAUCGAGAGCUCUGCAUAACCGCUUUUCUGGUAAGGCCCCGUCCGAGCCCCACCUCUUUUAUAUGCACAUGCACAUACCAGACAGUGCCUCCCCUGACGAGAUCAGGAAGGAUGGUCUGGCAGUGUGAGUGUCAAAAGUAACAGAUUGGCCGGCAGUCUCGCAUCACAUCUCUCUGGGGUGUGGUGAUCAUGUUGAUUCUUGAGGUCCCUGCAUAACCGUCGCUCUGGUAAAGGCUCUUUCUCGUAGUAUUCGGGAAUGAAACGUGCUUUACCACUUUUGCUAGUACGCACAAGGACAAGGAAUGGGUACUGAACGCCUGACGAGAUCAGGUAUGAAAGUGCGGUAAAAGUAACAGAGCGGCCGGCAGUCUCGCAUCACUCAGCUUGUCCGACUUGGUUAACAUCUCAGAGUGAGACCUGAUUUCUUGUGUUUCGGUAAUUGCCACCACCUCGACUUAGGAGAGGUUACCCGCUGAACUUAAGCAUAUCAGUAAGCGGAGGAAAAGAAACCAAUCAGGGAUUCCCUUAGUAGGGGCGACCGAACAGGGAUGAGCCCAGCGCAGAACCUCCCGGGCCACCCGGCCUGCGGCGGAAUGUUGCGUUAAGGGAAAGGUCGUAGUCAAACCCUACAGCCACGCGAGCUCUAAGUAAGUCACGAAUUGGCUAUCCCAACUAACGGCGGGAAAAUCUCCACGGAGGGUGUAAGACCCGUGUGGGCGCGUGUAAAUGCUGUGUGGGCUCGGCCUCUUUUCCCUGAGAGUCGCGUUGCUUGAGCAUGCAGCGCUAAGCAGGUCGUAAACUCGAUCUAAGGCUAAAUAUGUCCACAAGACCGAUAGCGAACAAGUACCGUGAGGGAAAGUUGAAAAGCACUCUGAAGAGAG
rnacentral:rRNA from 1 species